GGCAAUGCUUAUGCUAGCAGGCUUAGGAUAUGGGCUUUAACUCAUAAAAUAACGCAUUCUGCAUUGAGUGAUUUGCUGGUGUUGACUCGUGAAACUACAAAUAUUUCUCUUCCUAGAUGUGCAAAGACGCUACUGAAGACUCUGAAACAGGUGGAGAGACAUUUUACGGCCGUUGGAGAAGGGCAGCUUUGGUACCAAGGAAUACAAAGCACUCUCCAACAAUAUUAUCGAUCUGUACCACCAGUCAUCAGAUUGAUAGAAGCUAAUAUCGCCGUAGAUGGACUUCCGAUGCAUAAUAGUGGACCAACGCAGCUAUGGCCUAUAUUAAUGCACAUAGUUAAUCUACCAGCACUGCCAAUCAUGGUGCUGGGUGUAUUUUGUGGUGCGACAAAACCGAGCUGUUUGGAAGGGUUUCUCCGGCCUUUAGUGGAUGAUAUCAACCGCGUACUGGUGCAAGGCAUUGAUGUUAACGGAAUUAUCAUCGACUUUCGCCUGAAAGCUAUUGUCGCAGAUACACCAGCUCGUGCGUUCAUCAAAGGAGUAACGUAUCCUCCUGGGCUGGAAGCAUGUAUAAAGUGCAAAAUAGUUGGCAGCCAUGACGGAACCAAAACAAUAUAUGAAGGAACAGCUGAAGUUCGGACCGACAAAGAAUUUAGAAACGGAGACUACGUGAAACACCAAAAAUAUUACACGCCAUUAUUAGAUAUAGAUGAAGUAGACAUCGUAACACAAACAACGAUAGCCGAUGACCUUCAUUUGUUCGCACUAGGAAUAGAAAAAAAAUUACUUAAAGGUUUUACAACUGGAGCUUUACACCCUUUUCCGAAGUGGUCAAAACAGGAGCAGUUAGAAAUUUCAAAUAUUUUAGUCAGGAUCGAAUACCCGUCAGAGAUACAUCGUAAGCCUAGGGCAUUAAAAUAUUUAGGAUUUUGGAAGGGGUCCGAAUUGUCA